rnacentral:misc_RNA from 1 species
AGUGUAGAUGCAUCUCUUGCUGGACGUAUUAUUGGAAAAGGUGGCGUCAACUCAAAGCAUAUCUGUCGUGUGACUGGAGCCAAAUUUUCCAUUAGGGAUAAUGAGUCAGAUCCUAACUUGAGGAACAUAGAACUUGAAGGUACAAUUGAUCAGAUUGAACAAGCCAGUCGAAUGGUUCGCGAGCUUAUUCAGAGCGUUACAACAUCUGCAGCACCCCCGAUGAAGAACAGCAGCUCCUCCGUAACAAGUAACUACAAAACAAAAAUUUGUGAGAACUUCACCAAGAGUACAUGCACUUUUGGAGAAAAGUGCCACUUUGCACAUGGAGCAGAAGAAUUGCGCAAGUCAGGUCCGUGAGAUUUGCUGUAUUUUACUGUUAGGGAGCAUACCCCCCCUGUGGCACUGUUAUCUCUUUUACUUUGGGUUUGUGAAAACAGUAGAUAAGGUGUUUUUGCCAUUAGAAUAUCUCGGAUUGGAGGCAUUUUAUUUGUUGAGAUCGUUAAUG